AAACUUUCAACAACGGAUCUCUUGGCUCUAGCAUCGAUGAAGAACGCAGCGAAAUGCGAUAAGUAAUGUGAAUUGCAAAAUUCAGUGAAUCAUCGAAUCUUUGAACGCACAUUGCGCCUGGCAGUAUUCUGCCAGGCAUGCCUGUCCAAGCGUCAUU
rnacentral:rRNA from 1 species